rnacentral:rRNA from 1 species
UAGGGAAUCUUCCGCAAUGGACGCAAGUCUGACGGAGCAACGCCGCGUGAGUGAAGAAGGAUUUCGGUUCGUAAAACUCUGUUGUUAGAGAAGAACAGCGCAUAGAGUAACUGUUAUGCGUGUGACGGUAUCUAACCAGAAAGCCACGGCUAACUACGUGCCAGCAGCCGCGGUAAUACGUAGGUGGCAAGCGUUGUCCGGAUUUAUUGGGCGUAAAGCGAGCGCAGGCGGUCAAUUAAGUCUGAUGUGAAAGCCCCCGGCUCAACCGGGGAGGGUCAUUGGAAACUGGUUGACUUGAGUGCAGAAGAGGAGGGUGGAAUUCCAUGUGUAGCGGUGAAAUGCGUAGAUAUAUGGAGGAACACCAGUGGCGAAGGCGACUCUCUGGUCUGUAACUGACGCGGAGGCUCGAAAGCGUGGGUAGCAAACAGG